CGGAGUUGUAUUGUUAACAGUGAAAUAGGUAGAAGGCGUCACUGCGGUCGGUGGAGAUGUCCAGUCGGUCGGGCCGGAUCGGCUGCAGGCUCGUCAUACCACAGCGAUUACGAAGGACUGUUCUAGAAGCCCUCCACGCCAGCCACCUGGGGAAGGAGAAUACGAAGGCCCGCGCGAGACAGAUCGUCUACUGGCCCGGGAUCUACCGGGAUGUGGAAAAUGUCACCCGCAGCUGUACCAUCUGCCAGAGAGAUCUUCUACCCGCUCAGCAGCAAGAGACCAUGAUGAGGAGACCGCCAGCGGAAAGGCCGUUCGAACUACACAUCGACUUUGCCGAUCACGCCGGCAGGAAGUACCUCGUGGCAGUGGACAGAUACUCCGGGUGGCUGUUUGUCGCCGACCUCGGUGUAAGCGCCCCCGCUUACACCUGUCCGAAGGACGAUGGCAGGCGUCAUGACGAGCGCACUCGCUACGCGACUAAGCGUAAAUGGACGGCACGGGAAAAGGGCUUUCGGCGGUACCCGGCUUUUUGAUGUCGUGUUCAGAGCCGUGCGGCGGAACGGGCUUACCCAGGACACCAACAACGGCCAGCUGGAGGUGGCGCCACGAAAGUGGUUUACGGGUGCCAGGAACCGCGACGGAGGCCGCCAGGAGAGGAGACCAGCUGGAGUUUAAGCGGAGGAGCAGAUGAGAGAAGAAGUCUAGAGAUGAGCAGAAGAGAGAAGAGAGUUUAAACAGCAUUUUUGUGUUUAUCGAUAAUAUAAAUAUUGAUCAC